UAUCUUAAAUGAUGAAUUUUUAGUUAUCCCUGUCUUAAGAUUGUUGAAGAUAAUGUAAUUUCUGAUAUUAAA
rnacentral:snoRNA from 1 species